CCUACGGGUGGCAGCAGUAGGGAAUAUUGCACAAUGGGGGAAACCCUGAAGCAGCAACGCCGCGUGGAGGAUGAAGGUUUUCGGAAGGUAAAGUCCUUGUGGUAGAGAAGAUAAUGACGGUAGCUAAGGAAUAAGCACCGGCUAACGCCGGGCAAGCAGCCGCGGUAAUACGGAGGGGGCAAGCGUUAUCCGGAAUCACUGGGCGUAAAGAGCGCGUAGGCGGGAUAGCAAGUCAGAUGUGAAAUCCUAUGGCUUAACCAUAGAACUGCAUUUGAAACUGUUAUGCUAGAGUAUGGGAGAGGUAGGUGGAAUUCUUGGUGUAGGGGUAAAAUCCGUAGAGAUCAAGAGGAAUACUCAUUGCGAAGGCGACCUGCUAGAACAUACCUGACGCUGAUGCGCGAAAGCGUGGGGAGCAAACAGGAUUAGAUACCCCUGUAGUC
rnacentral:rRNA from 1 species